GGAGUGCAGUAGGCUCCUAUUUCCCGUGGCCGCGCAGCCCCAGCUGUGACCUACAUAUUUUGCCACAUCCAUGACAAGCAUAACCAUUGCAUUGUCCGCAGCUCAAAUAUCCAGUUAUGAACUGCAAAACUAUCAACAGCCACAAGCCAAUUUCUGCCAAUACAACACAGAAGAGACGUUCAAUCACUCGGACAGAGGAUGGUGACAGACAAACUACUGGUUAUUACAUGUGUGCUGUGAUUUCCUGUACAAAGGUGAAUACCUUGUUUACGCUAUCGUUUCGAUAGGAUCAAACUGUAACUUCAGAGGCGGUGACCACAUCAACAACUUUGUCUUCCAUAGCAAGAAAAAUGAAAAUAACCCAGUUCCCAGAUAGGUCUCUACAUAAACCGAUGAUCUACGACAUUCCCACU